CCUACGGGUGGCAGCAGUGGGGAAUAUUGGACAAUGGGCGCAAGCCUGACGCAGCGACGCCGCGUGAGUGAAGAAGCGUUUCGGCUCGUAAACUUCUUUUAGCGGGGAAGAGUCAAGGACGGUACCUGACGCAUACGCCACGGCUAACUACAUGCCAGCAGACGCGCUAAUAAGUAGGUGGCAAGCUUUGUACGGAUGAACUGGGUGUAAAGGGCGUGUAGCCGGGUUGACAAGUCAGAUGUGAAAGACCGCGGCUUAACCGCAGAACUGCUUUUGAAACUGCUGAUCUUGAGUACUGGAGAGGCAGAUGGAAUUCCUAGUGUAGCGGUGAAAUGCGUAGAUAUUAGGAGGAACACCAGUGGCGAAGGCGGUCUGCUGGACAGUAACUGACGGUGAGGCGCGAAAGCGUGGGGAGCAAACAGGAUUAGAUACCCGAGUAGUC
rnacentral:rRNA from 1 species